GCCGGGCUAGCUCAAUCGGUAGAGCGUGAGACUCUUAGUUAUCACGGCAUCUCAAGGUUGCGGGUUCGACCCCCGCGUUCGGCU
rnacentral:tRNA from 1 species